rnacentral:rRNA from 1 species
UACGUAGGGGGCGAGCGUUGUCCGAAGUUACUGGGCGUAAAGCGCGCGUAGGCGGUUCUUUAAGUUUGGGGUGAAAGGUUCAGUGCUCAACGCGAACAGUGCCCUGGAGACUGGGGAACUUGAGUGUGGGAGGGGGCAGUGGAAUUCCUGGUGUAGCGGUGAAAUGCGUAGAUAUCAGGAGGAACACCGGUGGCGAAGGCGGCUGCCUGGCCUAACACUGACGCUGAGGUGCGAAAGCGUGGGGAGCGAACGGG